GUUUGCCGCGUCUGCUGUGAAAGCCCGGGGCUUACCCCGGGUGUGCAGUGGGUACGGGCAGACUAGAGUGCAGUAGGGGAGACUGGAAUUCCUGGUGUAGCGGUGAAAUGCGCAGAUAUCAGGAGGAACACCGAUGGCGAAGGCAGGUCUCUGGGCUGUUACUGACGCUGAGGAGCGAAAGCAUGGGGAGCGAACAGGAUUAGAUACCCUGGUAGUCCAUGCCGUAAACGUUGGGCACUAGGUGUGGGGGACAUUCCACGUUUUCCGCGCCGUAGCUAACGCAUUAAGUGCCCCGCCUGGGGAGUACGGCCGCAAGGCUAAAACUCAAAGGAAUUGACGGGGGCCCGCACAAGCGGCGGAGCAUGCGGAUUAAUUCGAUGCAACGCGAAGAACCUUACCAAGGCUUGACAUGGACCGGACCGCUGCAGAGAUGCAGCUUCCCUUCGGGGCUGGUUCACAGGUGGUGCAUGGUUGUCGUCAGCUCGUGUCGUGAGAUGUUGGGUUAAGUCCCGCAACGAGCGCAACCCUUGUCCUAUGUUGCCAGCACGUAAAGGUGGGGACUCAUGGGAGACUGCCGGGGUCAACUCGGAGGAAGGUGGGGAUGACGUCAAAUCAUCAUGCCCCUUAUGUCUUGGGCUUCACGCAUGCUACAAUGGCCGGUACAGUGGGUUGCGAUACUGUGAGGUGGAGCUAAUCCCUAAAAGCCGGUCUCAGUUCGGAUCGAAGUCUGCAACUCGACUUCGUGAAGUUGGAGUC
rnacentral:rRNA from 1 species